rnacentral:tRNA from 1 species
AGGAGAGAUGGUUGAAUGGUUGAAAAUGUAGCUUUGGAAUAGUAAAUGUAAGCUUUUGCUUACCGAGGGUUCGAAUCUCUCUCUUUCCUUACC